GGACAACUGAUAUAUGUAAAGGAAGCUUAGCUGGUGGAAAGCUAUUUCUCUGCAGUUCCAUGUAGUAUGUUACAAGCUGCACACUGCCUGUGACCGUCUGUCUGCUACUGCACACAUGGUCUGCAUUUUGUUGCCAGCCAGUGAUGAAUGACCAGCAAGUGUUGGCUCAAUGAACAGCUGUUUUUGAGAAAUACAUGCAAUCUAUGAAAAUUCAGUUUUAUUUUAGCACAAAGUUCAACAUAGCAAGAUGGAAAAAAAAAGUGAAAGGCUCUGAAAACUUUCUGAAGGCACUGCAUGUGUAUACCAGCUUUAUUCCUCUGUAACAAAUAUAACAGAAGUCAUGACAUUUAAUAGUCCUGCAUUUCAUUUUUGCUGUUAUGUGUGAAAAACACAGUACAACAAUAUAUAGCUCUUAGAACAGAAGUUUUUAUUAUUAUUUUAUUUUUUUACUUUUUAUGCUAUUAAUAAAAAAUCUGCUAGUUAGACACUUGAAUAACACAGUGAGAACUGAAAGAAAUAAAGAAAUAGCUCCUAUGAAUUGGCAGUGAAAAGUAAAUUGCCUCUGGAAGGUUCACCCACAGGUUGUCCCAGGAUAAACUGACUAGUCAUAUUCUUGACAAGUGGAAAAUAGAGUAUGUAUGAAGCCGAGCAGGAUUACUAUGGAAUCAUGGGUGUUUAAAAAUUGCACUGAAUAAAACUAAUAGGUA